rnacentral:rRNA from 1 species
CACGUAGGAGGCGAGCGUUGUCCGGAAUCAUUGGGCGUAAAGAGCGCGCAGGCGGCUUGGCAAGUCGGGUGUGAAAUCCCGGGGCUCAACCCCGUGACUGCAUCCGAUACUGUCAGGCUAGAGGUAGGUAGGGGAGAUCGGAAUUCCUGGUGUAGCGGUGAAAUGCGUAGAGAUGUGGAGGAACACCAGUGGCGAAGGCGACUCUUUGGCCUGUAACUGACGCUGAGGCGCGAAAGGCGUGGGGAGCAAACAGG